rnacentral:sRNA from 1 species
GAACCACUUUCCUGUCAUUCAGGAAAGUCAAGGCCAUACGGACAGCCGGGUUCACUGCCGA